GUACUCACUUUGGCAGCACAGAUACUAAGAGUGAAAUGAUACAGAGAUUAGUAUGGCCUGUGUACCCGGAUGGAAUGCGAAUUUGCGAUGCAUUCCAUGUAUUU
ensembl:snRNA U6 U6 spliceosomal RNA